rnacentral:misc_RNA from 1 species
GAUGAAGAACGUAGCGAAAUGCGAUAAGUAAUGUGAAUUGCAGAAUUCAGUGAAUCAUCGAAUCUUUGAACGCACAUUGCGCCCCUUGGUAUUCCGAGGGGCAUGCCUGUUCGAGCGUCAUUAUAACCCCUCAAGCUCAGCUUGGUGUUGGGGCCUGCUGCACUGGCAGCCCUUAAAAUCAGUGGCGGCGCCAUCUUGCUCUAAGCGUAGUAAUUCUUCUCGCUAUGGAGUCCUGGUGGAUGCUUGCCAUCAACCCCCAAUUUUUCUAUGGUUGACCUCGGAUCAGGUAGGGAUACCCGCUGAACUUAAGCAUAUCAAUAAGCGGAGGA